rnacentral:rRNA from 1 species
CACGUAGGGCGCGAGCGUUGUCCGGAAUUAUUGGGCGUAAAGAGCGUGUAGGCGGCCAGAUAAGUCCGCUGUGAAAUCUCGAGGCUUAAUCUCGAGCUGUCGGCGGAAACCAUCUGGCUAGAGUCCGGAAGAGGAGAAUGGAAUUCCCGGUGUAGCGGUGAAAUGCGCAGAUAUCGGGAAGAACACCCGUGGCGAAGGCGGUUCUCUGGGACGGUACUGACGCUGAGACGCGAAAGCGUGGGGAGCGAACAGG